rnacentral:lncRNA from 1 species
AGGGUUCUGUCAGUUGGGUUUGGUCAAAAAGGUUGAGUAGAAUGAUGAGAUUAUAUUUCAAAAAGCAAGAUGAACACGUGAGUUUAACUUCAGUUUUAACAGAAACUAACAAAAGGACUAUUUUGAUGGGUGGAUGAUAACCUGAAGGACUAUUAGUGUCACAAAAAAACCUGAAGGACGAUUCAUGAUAAUUUUGUAAACGUGAAGGACCAUUUGUGAUAAAAAGCCUAAAAUGAAUAGAUUAGGGAUAGAUCUGCAUUUGAAGGUUUUGAAGCAACUUUACAGGUUUUGUUUAAUAUAAUUGAGAGAGAGAGAGAGAGAGAGGACGAAAGGAGGAGGAGGUGGAGGGUACAGGUGGUUUCUGUCAGGCUGGAGUGGAGUGGGCAGCUAUGUGGAGAUGAUUGUUUUGGUUCUUUUCUCUCUUUCUUUUUUUUUUUUUUUGGGUGUUUUUGUUGUAGUUUUAAAGUAUUAUUGUGUUGAUAAUAAAGCCCUCGAUGAACCUAGGAUAUGCCUUCAAAUUGACAGAUUUAAGAAAUUGGACUUGAUUUGUUAAUGAUUGCAAUUACGGUGACGAAAUUAGGAAAAUUAAAAUUAUGGUGACUAAAUUUGAUUUUGAGCUAAACUCUAGUAACAAAAAG